GACGAACGCUGGCGGCGUGCUUAACACAUGCAAGUCGAACGAUGAAGUUCCUUCGGGAAUGGAUUAGUGGCGAACGGGUGAGGAACACGUGAGAAACCUGCCUUUCAUUUUGGGAUAACUCCGGGAAACCGGGGCUAACACCGAAUACUCCGUCUCGGCGGCAUCGCUGAGCCGGGAAAAAAUUUUGAUGAAAGAUGGUCUCGCGGCCUAUCAGCUAGUUGGUGAGGUAAUGGCUCACCAAGGCAACGACGGGUAGCCGGCCGGAGAGGGCGACCGGCCACACUGGGACUGAGACACGGCCCAGACUCCUACGGGAGGCAGCAGUGGGGAAUAUUGGGCAAUGGGCGCAAGCCUGACCCAGCGACGCCGCGUGAGGGAUGAAGGCCUUCGGGUUGUAAACCUCUUUCAGUAGGGAAGAAGCGAAAGUGACGGUACCUAAAGAAGAAGCACCGGCUAACUAUGUGCCAGCAGCCGCAGUAA
rnacentral:rRNA from 1 species